CUCUUCUGGGAUAUUUGCAUUUCCGUAUGAAUUUAGCAUUAGCUUCGCUUUUUGUACAGAAGUAGAAAAUCAGCUGGUAUCUUGAUAGGGAUUGGAUUCAAUCUGUGGAACACCUUUGUGAAUAUUGUUAUCUUAAUUUAAGUUUUCCAAUCCAUGAACACAGGAUAGCUCUCCAUUUAUUCAGGACAUCAAGGCAACGUGACAAUCCAACUAAAAGACAUUCAUGAAGAGGACUUCCAGGACUGCUUCAGAAGGAGAAUCUAAAGACUUGAAAUUCAGUUGUUGAGGCUUCUAAGUGCUCCUUUCAUACAGCCAGUGUUCCAGAAGGGCCCUGAUGGAGGAGUCAGGACUGGACACUGAACAGAGGGGCCCUCCUAUGCCUUCAGAGAGGCAUUUUUAGGAAAUCACCAUACUGAGAGGAGAAUAGUUUUCAGCUCAUCUUCACAGGCACCAUGUCUAUGUCACUGGAGAAGGAUCCAGAAAAGAGGGAGUCUGCGUCUGGUUUUGAAGUCCCUUAGUGAUGGUUGGCAGAGAGAAAGAAGAUCCCAGGUCUGAGAGCCAGGUGCUGGUCUCCACUGAACAUACCUGUGGAACAAAGUAGGUGUCUGCAGGCACCUCCUGUCCAAAAAGCUAGAUGCUGUCCUAGCCCAGUCACUCCCAGCUGCAGCAGUCCUCCCACUCAGCAGCUGGCCCUAGACCAACGGUGAUGAACCUAUGGCAUGCGUGCUGCAGCCGGAUGUUUGUUAUCAUUGAAAGCUCUAAAAGUUUCACCAUUACUGCCCUAGACUCUUUUUGUUUUGAAUAAGAGCAUUUAUCAAAACAAGAGCCCAGAAGCCUACCAGGACAGUUGGUCCGGACGGGCAGCACCUGUCACCACAGCUUGGUUUAUUCUGCACUCUGAGUGACUCAUCAACCAGGAGGUUGGGAAGGACAAUGCCAACACAUUCCCAGGCAUGUUUCCUUCACGCUAGCUCCAUUUUAUUGGAAAGAACUACUCUAGCUAAGGCAUUGGAAGCCACAGUUGGUGAUGGAGGCUGAACACACCUAAUGAGACAACAGGAGUGACCACUUAGUAACAUGGAGAGUCCCAUUGGACAAGUGUGUCCUGGAUGCGCUGGGGUGGACAUGAUGGCCUAAAAUACAUGCAGGCAGCAGGGUGGUCCAUCUAGCUUCCAUGUGCUUUCAGCAUAACUGGCACUAGGUAUUCCUCUAAAUGGUCUGUGAUCCCUUAGGAAACUUGCUGAGCCACAAUAUGUGUUUUCCCAUUUCAUCAUUACCUAGUAAAUACGUGAAAAGUUGGCACAGUGCUUUAGAAAAAACUGGAGUAAUACUCCUGUUUUGACCUACAGAGUUCUCAUUGGUCAUUUUUCUUCACUUUUGUCUUUUAAAAUUUUUUUUUUUUUGUCUUGAGACAGGUUCUCAUUAAGUUGCUGAGGCUAGGUUCAAACUCGCAGUCCUGUCUCAGCCUCUCAGAGGGCCAGGAUCACAGGUGUGCAGCAUUACACUCAGCUUGUCCAUGUUUGUUAUGUUCUAAAGCCUCUGUUGAACCCACUCUGUUUUGCUUGAGGAUGGCCAGACCAUUGUUCCACUCCAUGGGAGAAUGGCCAGAGCUGCUUACAGCCAGUUUUAGCAGCAGAGUUAUUAGCGUUUAUGUUUUAAUUACUGUCUUCCCAACACAUAUAUGGGACUAUAUUAGGAAGAGGCUGAUACUUAAAAAUUAUAAAACAGCUCCUUUUUCAAGGUGGUUUUUUUUUUUUUUUAGAGAAUAAAGCAGUUUAAGAGAG
rnacentral:lncRNA from 1 species